CCUACUGGAGGCAGCAGUAGGGAAUUUUGCGCAAUGGGCGAAAGCCUGAAGCAGCAACGCCGCGUGAUCGAGACGCCCUUCAGGGUGUAAAGAUCUGUCAGUGGGGACGAAACUUGACGAUACCCACAGAGGAAGCACCGGCUAACUCCGUUCCAGCAGCCGCGGUAAUACGGGGGGUGCAAGCGUUAUCCGGAAUAUUUGGGCGUCAAGAGGUCGUAGGCGGCACGUAAAGUCUGGUGUUAAAGGCAGAGGCUCAACUUCUGUAUGGCACUUGAUACUUGCGAGCUAGAAUGUGGUAGCGGUAAAGGGAAUGUCUGGUGUAGCGGUGAAAUGCUUAGAGAUCAGGCGGAACAUCGGUGGCGUAAGCGCUUUACCGGGCCGUAAUUGACGCUGAGGAACGAAAGCCAGGGUAGCAAAUGGGAUUAGAUACCCCAGUAGUC
rnacentral:rRNA from 1 species